rnacentral:rRNA from 1 species
UACGUAGGGGGCGAGCGUUGUCCGGAAUCAUUGGGCGUAAAGAGCGUGUAGGCGGCUUGGCAAGUCUGACGUGAAAGCCCGCGGCUCAACCGCGGAUUGUCGUUGGAAACUGCCUCGCUAGAGUCCGGAAGAGGAGAGCGGAAUUCCUGGUGUAGCGGUGGAAUGCGCAGAUAUCAGGAAGAACACCCGUGGCGGAAGGCGGCUCUCUGGGACGGUACUGACGCUGAGACGCGAAAGCGUGGGGAGCAAACAGG